GAUGAACGCUAGCGGCGGGCUUAAUACAUGCAAGUCAAGGGGUAGCAAUACACCGGCGUACGGGUGCGUAACGCGUAUGGAACCUGCCCUUAUCUGGGGGAUAACUCGGGGAAACUCGAGCUAAUACCGCAUAAGAUAGUAGAAUGGCAUCAUUCAGCUAUUAAAGAUUUAUCGGAUAAGGAUGGCCAUGCGUAAGAUUAGAUAGUUGGUGGGGUAACGGCUCACCAAGUCUACGAUCUUUAGGGGCUCUGAGAGGAGAAUCCCCCACGCUGGCACUGAGAUACAGGCCAGACUCCUACGGGAGGCAGCAGUAGGGAAUAUUGGGCAAUGGGCGGAAGCCUGACCCAGCCACGCCGCGUGCAGGAAGAAGGCCCUCUGGGUUGUAAACUGCUUUUGAUUGGGAAGAAAGCAUCUCAUGCGUGGGAUUUUGACGGUACCAAUCGAAUAAGCCACGGCUAACUACGUGCCAGCAGCCGCAGUAAAAC
rnacentral:rRNA from 1 species